UACGUAGGGGGCAAGCGUUGUCCGGAAUCAUUGGGCGUAAAGAGCGUGUAGGCGGCCCGGUAAGUCCGCUGUGAAAGUCCAGGGCUCAACCCUGGGAUGCCGGUGGAUACUGUCGGGCUCGAGUCCGGAAGAGGAGUGUGGAAUUCCUGGUGUAGCGGUGAAAUGCGCAGAUUUCAGGAGGAACACCAAUGGCGAAGGCAGCACUCUGGGACGUGACUGACGCUGAGACGCGAAAGCGUGGGGAGCAAACAGG
rnacentral:rRNA from 1 species